rnacentral:rRNA from 1 species
GAUGAACGCUGGCGGUAUGCUUAACACAUGCAAGUCGAACGGUCACUUCGGUGAUAGUGGCGGACGGGUGAGUAACGCGUGAGAAUCUGUCUUCAGGUCGGGGACAACAGUUAGAAAUGACUGCUAAUACCGGAUGUGCCUUUGGGUGAAAGAUUUAUUGCCUGAAAAAGAGCUCGCGUCAGAUUAGCUAGUAGGUGGUGUAAGAGACUACCUAGGCUCCGAUCUGUAGCUGGUCUGAGAGGACGAUCAGCCACACUGGAACUGAGACACGGUCCAGACUCCUACGGGAGGCAGCAGUGGGGAAUUUUCCGCAAUGGGCGAAAGCCUGACGGAGCAAUACCGCGUGAGGGACGAAGGCUUUUGGGUCGUAAACCUCUUUUCUCAAGGAAGAUGAUGACGGUACUUGAGGAAUAAACAUCGGCUAACUCUGU